rnacentral:rRNA from 1 species
GAUGAACGCUGGCGGCGUGCCUAAUACAUGCAAGUCGAGCGAACGGACGAGAAGCUUGCUUCUCUGAUGUUAGCGGCGGACGGGUGAGUAACACGUGGAUAACCUACCUAUAAGACUGGGAUAACUUCGGGAAACCGGAGCUAAUACCGGAUAAUAUUUUGAACCGCAUGGUUCAAAAGUGAAAGACGGUCUUGCUGUCACUUAUAGAUGGAUCCGCGCUGCAUUAGCUAGUUGGUAAGGUAACGGCUUACCAAGGCAACGAUGCAUAGCCGACCUGAGAGGGUGAUCGGCCACACUGGAACUGAGACACGGUCCAGACUCCUACGGGAGGCAGCAGUAGGGAAUCUUCCGCAAGGGGCGAAAGCCUGACGGAGCAACGCCGCGUGAGUGAUGAAGGUCUUCGGAUCGUAAAACUCUGUUAUUAGGGAAGAACAUAUGUGUAAGUAACUGUGCACAUCUUGACGGUACCUAAUCAGAAAGCCACGGCUAACUACGUGCCAGCAGCCGCGGUAAUACGUAGGUGGCAAGCGUUAUCCGGAAUUAUUGGGCGUAAAGCGCGCGUAGGCGGUUUUUUAAGUCUGAUGUGAAAGCCCACGGCUCAACCGUGGAGGGUCAUUGGAAACUGGAAAACUUGAGUGCAGAAGAGGAAAGUGGAAUUCCAUGUGUAGCGGUGAAAUGCGCAGAGAUAUGGAGGAACACCAGUGGCGAAGGCGACUUUCUGGUCUGUAACUGACGCUGAUGUGCGAAAGCGUGGGGAUCAAACAGGAUUAGAUACCCUGGUAGUCCACGCCGUAAACGAUGAGUGCUAAGUGUUAGGGGGUUUCCGCCCCUUAGUGCUGCAGCUAACGCAUUAAGCACUCCGCCUGGGGAGUACGACCGCAAGGUUGAAACUCAAAGGAAUUGACGGGGACCCGCACAAGCGGUGGAGCAUGUGGUUUAAUUCGAAGCAACGCGAAGAACCUUACCAAAUCUUGACAUCCUUUGACAACUCUAGAGAUAGAGCCUUCCCCUUCGGGGGACAAAGUGACAGGUGGUGCAUGGUUGUCGUCAGCUCGUGUCGUGAGAUGUUGGGUUAAGUCCCGCAACGAGCGCAACCCUUAAGCUUAGUUGCCAUCAUUAAGUUGGGCACUCUAAGUUGACUGCCGGUGACAAACCGGAGGAAGGUGGGGAUGACGUCAAAUCAUCAUGCCCCUUAUGAUUUGGGCUACACACGUGCUACAAUGGACAAUACAAAGGGCAGCGAAACCGCGAGGUCAAGCAAAUCCCAUAAAGUUGUUCUCAGUUCGGAUUGUAGUCUGCAACUCGACUACAUGAAGCUGGAAUCGCUAGUAAUCGUAGAUCAGCAUGCUACGGUGAAUACGUUCCCGGGUCU